rnacentral:rRNA from 1 species
UUUCGACCUGAGCUCAGGCAAGAGCACCCGCU